rnacentral:rRNA from 1 species
UGGGCUCGAAAUAUAGAGGACGACGUCAGAGAUGACGUUUCUCGAAAGGGUCUUUAUAUAGGUGCUGCAUGGCUGUCGUCAGCUCGUGCCGUGAGGUGUUUGGUUAAGUCCAGCAACGAGCGCAACCCUUAUCGUUAGUUGCCAGCGCGUAAUGGCGGGAACUCUAACGAGACUGCCUGGGUUAACCAGGAGGAAGGUGAGGAUGACGUCAAGUCCGCAUGGCCUUUAUGUCCAGGGCUACACACGUGCUACAAUGGUCGGUACAGAAGGCAGCGAAACCGUAAGGUGAAGCAAAUCCUCUAAAACCGAUCUCAGUUCAGAUUGUAGUCUGCAACUCGGCUACAUGAAGUUGGAAUUGCUAGUAAUGGCGUGUCAGCAACAACGCCGUGAAUACGUUCCCGGGCC